ACGCUUAACACAUGCAAGUCGAACGAGAGAAGAGGAGCUUGCUUUUCUGAUCUAGUGGCGGACGGGUGAGUAACACGUGAGCAAUCUGCCUUUCAGAGGGGGAUACCGAUUGGAAACGAUCGUUAAUACCGCAUAAUAUAAUUGAACCGCAUGAUUUGAUUAUCAAAGAUUUAUCGCUGAAAGAUGAGCUCGCGUCUGAUUAGCUAGUUGGUAAGGUAACGGCUUACCAAGGCGACGAUCAGUAGCCGGACUGAGAGGUUGAUCGGCCACAUUGGGACUGAGACACGGCCCAGACUCCUACGGGAGGCAGCAGUGGGGAAUAUUGCACAAUGGAGGAAACUCUGAUGCAGCGAUGCCGCGUGAGGGAAGAAGGUUUUAGGAUUGUAAACCUCUGUCUUCAGGGACGAAAAAAGACGGUACCUGAGGAGGAAGCUCCGGCUAACUACGUGCCAGCAGCCGCGGUAAUACGUAGGGAGCGAGCGUUGUCCGGAAUUACUGGGUGUAAAGGGAGCGUAGGCGGGAUCGCAAGUCAGAUGUGAAAACUAUGGGCUUAACCCAUAAACUGCAUUUGAAACUGUGGUUCUUGAGUGAAGUAGAGGUAAGCGGAAUUCCUAGUGUAGCGGUGAAAUGCGUAGAUAUUAGGAGGAACAUCAGUGGCGAAGGCGGCUUACUGGGCUUUAACUGACGCUGAGGCUCGAAAGCGUGGGGAGCAAACAGGAUUAGAUACCCUGGUAGUCCACGCCGUAAACGAUGAUUACUAGGUGUGGGGGGACUGACCCCUUCCGUGCCGCAGCAAACGCAAUAAGUAAUCCACCUGGGGAGUACGACCGCAAGGUUGAAACUCAAAGGAAUUGACGGGGGCCCGCACAAGCAGUGGAGUAUGUGGAUUAAUUCGAAGCAACGCGAAGAACCUCACCAGGUCUUGACAUCGUAUGCAUAGCUCAGAGAUGAGUGAAAUCUCUUCGGAGACAUAUAGACAGGUGGUGCAUGGUUGUCGUCAGCUCGUGUCGUGAGAUGUUGGGUUAAGUCCCGCAACGAGCGCAACCCUUACUGUUAGUUGCUACGCAAGAGCACUCUAGCAGGACUGCCGUUGACAAAACGGAGGAAGGUGGGGAUGACGUCAAAUCAUCAUGCCCCUUAUGACCUGGGCCUCACACGUACUACAAUGGCUGUCAACAGAGGGAAGCAAAGCCGCGAGGUGGAGCGAACCCCUAAAAGCAGUCUUAGUUCGGAUUGUAGGCUGCAACCCGCCUACAUGAAGUCGGAAUUGCUUGUAAUCGCAGAUCAGCAUGCUGCGGUGAAUACGUUCCCGGGCCUUGCACU
rnacentral:rRNA from 1 species